UUUGCUUUCAAGAUUGUCUCUCUUUUCCAACAUUUUGGUGAUGUUAAAUAACUUAACCAUGCCAUAGUCACUUCACUUUCGCUUUGUCAAAACUGGGUCUAUUUUAAAGAUAUCUUAUUACAGCACAAUAUAGUGAAAUGUUCGAGCCUUGUGGUGAUAUGUUGAGUGCUGGUUUAAUGUUUGAUCAAAUGCCUGAAUGAAACUUGGUUUUUGGACAAGUAUUAUGUCUUCUGUAUAAAAAUGGUCUGAGUUUGUUUUGUUUUAUGUGCCCGUUUUGGGUUUCGGGCCAAUGAGGUUGGUUUCUCUGUGAGCUUAAGGUGUGUGGAGUUGCUAGUGACUUCUAAUGGUUAUGUUUAGGCAGAUUGUGAAAUGUGGGUUUCAGUUAUAUAGUGCUUUUGUAGUGCUUCAGUUCUUGGUAUGUAUGAUAAAUACGUUGACAUUUAAUGUGGUUGUGAGUUUUUAAAUGGCAUACCGUUGUGGGGGAAGAUCUAUGGCGUUAAAGUUCAAAACUUGAAUAGGCUGUUAGGUUGUUUCAUGAGAUGGGUGGUCUAGUUUACGUCCAAAUUCUUUAUUUAUUCUUUUCACUUUAAAUUAGGUGCUAACUUUGUUGGUUUCUGACCUUGUGAGAUUUUUUCCUUAUGUAAUUGUAAAGGAUGGUUUAAAAAUGAUGUUGUUGAGGGUGGAGGCCUUUGUUGAUGUGAAAUGGGGAUUCAGAAAUGAUGCUUGUGAAGUGUUUUGAAUCUGACUAUAUAUCACUAAGCAUCUAUGGUUGAUCUCCUUGGUCGGGCUGAGCAAGUGGACAGGCAGAGGCUUUGAUAAAGAACACUUCAUCUGAUUCAAAAUCGAAAUCUCUCCUUUUGAAGAAUUGCUUGCAUGUCGAUAAAUUUAAAAUCGGAUUAGAUCAAGAAGAGUGGUGGAAACGUUAGAGAUUUAGAAGGAACAUCCAUUCCGCCAAUUGCUGUAACCAGGCACCAACAUGGCCCAACAGAAUCACUCUACUCUGUCGCAGCCCCAAAAACAGCAUUAAGAUUAAGGUUAUUUUAAUAUGACAUCAUAUGAAUUUGAUUCGUUUCUAGGAUUCCCACAAGCGUCCAUCCAAAACUCAUCUACUUAAUUGAGGGAACUGAUGGCUUAUAAACUGGAUGCAAGUAUUACUCGCUAGCUGCAGUUGCUUCAACGUCCAAUCCAACAAGGGGAAACUCAAAUGUGAAUGCUUAAGAUAAGAAGAAAAAGAAGAUUGGUUCCUCCAAGGUUGCUAAAACCACAACUACUGGAAGAAAGAAUAACAUUGAUCCACAGCAAACACGGAAAAGCAAGGGCAAGGUCCCUUGGAGAGUUUAUCCAUGUUUUAUGUCCCAAAUUUUUUUGCAUGGAAAUAUAGGCUAUACGUCUGUCAAAUAGUGGAACACUGUUGAA